UACGGAGGGGACGAGUGUUACUCAUAAUGACUGGGCGUAAAGGGUAUGUAGGUGGUUUAUUUAGUUAAAUAGUAAAAGAAUAGAUUAAAAGUUUAUAGGACUAUUUAAAACGUUUAGACUCGAGUAUAGGAGAGGGUAGUGGAAUUUCCGGUGUAGCGGUGAAAUGCGUAGAGAUCGGAAGGAACACCGGUGGCGGAGGCGGCUACCUGGCCUAAUACUGACACUGAGGCACGAAAGCGUGGGGAGCAAACAGG
rnacentral:rRNA from 1 species